rnacentral:rRNA from 1 species
UUGAACGCUGGCGGCAGGCCUAACCCAUGCCAGUCGAGCGGAUGAAGGGAGCUUGCUCCUGGAUUCAGCGGCGGACGGGUGGGUAAUGCCUAGGAAUCUGCCUGGUAGUGGGGGAUAACGUCCGGAAACGGGCGCUAAUACCGCAUACGUCCUGCGGGAGAAAGUGGGGGAUCUUCGGGCCUCACGCUAUCAGAUGAGCCUAGGUCGGAUUAGCUAGUUGGUGGGGUAAAGGCCUUCCAAGGCGACGAUCCGUAACUGGUCUGAGAGGAUGAUCAGUCACACUGGAACUGAGACACGGUCCAGACUCCUACGGGAGGCAGCAGUGGGGAAUAUUGGACAAUGGGCGAAAGCCUGAUCCAGCCAUGGCGCGUGUGUGAAGAAGGUCUUCGGAUUGUAAAGCACUUUAAGUUGGGAGGAAGGGCAGUAAGUUAAUACCUUGCUGUUUUGACGUUACCAACAGAAUAAGCACCGGCUAACUUCGUG